UCUUCUAAUUUGCAGAUCACUGUAAUUGUAAUAAAAACAGCCUGACAGCAGGGAGCGCUUAUUGUGAGCCUGGCACUCUGCUGGGUGUCCCCCGACAGGCAUUGUCUCGGUCAGUCUCCACGCAGCCCCUAAGUUGAAAUGAGGAAACUGUUCCAGGUAUGCUGGUUGGGACCCACAGUGUGGUGGAUCAUGUGCCAUGCCUGCUGGCCUGUAUCUCACUGCAAGUUCAGGGGAAGUGAUUCUUUUAAACCAUGAAGAACUCAGACGAGCCAAGGGCAGUCCUCCUGCCCCUUGAAGAGAAAAGAGCACCACACGAUGCUUUCCUUCUGUCCAAGAACUAAGGUUCAUUUUAUAUGCCUGAAAGCUAACUGUGGGCCCAGCUGCGUUUCACCCUGAAGGUCCUGUGGCUGCAGACACACACCUGGAUGGAGCAGUGCUGCCCAGCUCAUCCCACCUGUGCCCAUACAGCUUCUAAUGCCAGCUUCUACCAGACCAACCUCGUUCCCAGCCCCCAGGAGCUGCCAGAGGCCCUGAGGACUCAGCCAAGCUCUAACUGGUGGACCCUGGGUAAGGGGUGUGGCAGGCAUACCCUGGGUGAAGGGGUGUGGGGGACAGAUACUGGGUGAAGUGGUGUGGCGAGCAGACAGUAAUGCAUUCACAGGGUGCAGGUGGCCAGCAUCACCCUUGCGAUGAAAUCAUGUUUCUCACAUUUUAUAUCUUACAGAGUAGGACAUGGAACAUAAUAAUAGUUUUUGUUCAUUCUAAGUAAACAUCUGACAAUGUCCAAUUCAGUGGGUUCCACCCCUAAAAUACAACAAUGCUUCCUUAAAUAAAAAAUGGCUGAAAA